CUGUGGCCUUGCAUUCUUGAGGACUUCUAUGUUGAAUGAACAUGUCAGGUGGACCCUUGUUGACGACAGCCAUUGAUGCAUGCUGUGGAACUCUGCGUCCUGACAGACACCUGGGCAGGAAACUUGAUAAGGGAAGUACCCAAAUUUAGUUGUUACCCACUCCAACAAGAGAUGAGGAAACCGAAGAUUGCAAAGCAUGGCUCAAAGAAGGAAAACAACAGUAAAGAUAGCAGCUCUUUCUCCCCCUCAAUAUCCAAAUCGUAUUGCUUUGGCAAAAUUGUUGCCUGGAGAAGCAGUCCUGCAUCAGGGUAACAAAUAGACAAUUAUGACGCUCAGCCAGAUUCCUUGUGAAUGAACCAAACUCGAACUGUGCUAUAAUUUGUUGAAGAUACCAAGGUCUUGACUGUUUUUGACAUUACCAUAUGAAGACUUAAACACAUCUAUGUUAAUUUCAUCUAGGUAAAGAGUUAUGGUAUUCAAUAAUGGGAAAUAGGGUCAAGAAAUAAAGAAGGGACACACUGGCAUUUAAAACAAAACAAGACAAACAAACAAAUACGAAUACAUAAUUGAAAGAAAGGCACCUUGAGGAGAGUGCUUGACAAGAAAUCAGGACCUGUGAAGUUGAGUGCAGACUCCAUUGCUGAACAGCUGUAUAGGAAGGAACUAGCUGACCUCUAAGUUCCCUUUUAGCUCUGCAUUUCUAUGAUUCUGAUUCAUUUUCCUAGGAAAUACAGUUCCAGUCUCAAGAGCACUGAACAUCCAUGAAGAGCGGCUCACAGAUGGAAGGAACUUGCCUUGUUUCAGAUGAGACUUUGGAUGGUGGACAUUUGAGUUAAUGCUGAAAUGAGUUAAGACUUUGGGCAAUUGUCAUAUACACCAUGGAAUACUAUG
rnacentral:lncRNA from 10 species